ensembl:snRNA U6 U6 spliceosomal RNA
GUGAUUUUGGAAACACAGAGACUAAGAAUGAAAUAAUAUAGAGAAGAUCAGCAUAGCACUGCCCAAGAAUGACAUGCAAAUUUUUGAAACAUUCCAUGUUUUC